CACGUAGUUAGCCGUGACUUUCUCACAGAGUACCGUCACUGUCUUCUUCCCCUGCGACAACAGUUUACAAUCCGAAGACCUUCUUCCUGCACGCGGCGUUGCUGCGUCAGGGUUGCCCCCAUUGCGCAAUAUUCCCCACUGCUGCCUCCCGUAGGAGUCUGGGCCGUGUCUCAGUCCCAAUGCGGCUGAUCAACCUCUCAGUUCGGCUACAGAUCGUCGCCUUGGUGAGCCGUUACCUCACCAACCAGCUAAUCUGACGCGAGUCCAUCCAUAAGCGAUAAAUCUUUCAAAAUUCUAUGAUGCCAUAAAAUUUCAAUAUGCGGUAUUAGUCCUCGUUUCCAAGGAUUACUCCCCCUCUUUAUGGGCUAGGUUACCUCGAACGUCGUUAACUCCGCCCCGUUCCGCCACUUUCCCAACCCAACACGUUCACCCCGAAGGGAUCACAAAUGGUUUCUCGUUCGACUUGCUAUGUGUUACGGCUACGCCGCCAGCCGGUUCGUC
rnacentral:rRNA from 1 species